rnacentral:rRNA from 1 species
AGGAGGUGGCGCUGCCUUUAACUUGCAAGUCGAACGGCAGCGCGGGGCAACCUGGCGGCGAGUGGCGAACGGGUGAGUAAUAUAUCGGAACGUGCCCUGGAGUGGGGGAUAACGCAGCGAAAGUUGCGCUAAUACCGCAUACGAUCUAAGGAUGAAAGCGGGGGAUUCGCAAGAACCUCGUGCUCCUGGAGCGGCCGAUAUCUGAUUAGCUAGUUGGUGGGGUAAAGGCCUACCAAGGCAUCGAUCAGUAGCUGGUCUGAGAGGACGACCAGCCACACUGGAACUGAGACACGGUCCAGACUCCUACGGGAGGCAGCAGUGGGGAAUUUUGGACAAUGGGCGAAAGCCUGAUCCAGCAAUGCCGCGUGAGUGAAGAAGGCCUUCGGGUUGUAAAGCUCUUUUGUCAGGGAAGAAACGGUGAAGGCUAAUAUCCUUUGCUAAUGACGGUACCUGAAGAAUAAGCACCGGCUAACUACGUGCCAGCAGCCGCGGUAAUACGUAGGGUGCAAGCGUUAAUCGGAAUUACUGGGCGUAAAGCGUGCGCAGGCGGUUUUGUAAGUCUGUCGUGAAAUCCCCGGGCUCAACCUGGGAAUUGCGAUGGAGACUGCAAGGCUAGAAUCUGGCAGAGGGGGGUAGAAUUCCACGUGUAGCAGUGAAAUGCGUAGAGAUGUGGAGGAACACCGAUGGCGAAGGCAGCCCCCUGGGUCAAGAUUGACGCUCAUGCACGAAAGCGUGGGGAGCAAACAGGAUUAGAUACCCUGGUAGUCCACGCCCUAAACGAUGUCUACUAGUUGUCGGGUUUUAAUUAACUUGGUAACGCAGCUAACGCGUGAAGUAGACCGCCUGGGGAGUACGGUCGCAAGAUUAAAACUCAAAGGAAUUGACGGGACCCGCACAAGCGGUGGAUGAUGUGGAUUAAUUCGAUGCAACGCGAAAAACCUUACCUACCCUUGACAUGUACGGAAGCCACGAGAGAUCGAGGCGUGCUCGAAAGAGAGCCGUAACACAGCUGCUGCAUGGCUGUCGUCAGCUCGUGUCGUGAGAAUGUGGGUUAAGUUCCCGCAACGAGCGCAAACUCUUGUCAUUAGUUGCUACGAAAGAGCACUCUAUGAAGACUGCCGGUGACAAACCGGAGAAGGUGGGGAUGACGUUCAGUCCUCAUGGGCCUUAUGGUAGGCUUCCAACGUAUACAUUGUACAUACCAGAAGGGCGGCUACUUGUAAGGGGGAACCUUAAUUCUCC